rnacentral:rRNA from 2 species
UGGGGAAUAUUGGGCAAUGGGCGAAAGCCUGACCCAGCAACGCCGCGUGAAGGAAGAAGGUUUUCGGAUUGUAAACUUCUGUCCUCAGGGAAGAAGGAAGUGACGGUACCUGAGGAGGAAGCCCCGGCUAACUACGUGCCAGCAGCCGCGGUAAUACGUAGGGGGCGAGCGUUGUCCGGAAUGACUGGGCGUAAAGGGCGCGUAGACGGCUUUUUAAGUCUGGAGUGAAAGUCCUGCUUUCAAGGUGGGAAUUGCUUUGGAGACUGGAAGGCUUGAGUGCGGAAGAGGUAAGUGGAAUUCCCAGUGUAGCGGUGAAAUGCGUAGAGAUUUGGAGGAACACCAGUGGCGAAGGCGACUUUCUGGACUGUAACUGACGCUGAGGCGCGAAAGCGUGGGGAGCAAACAGG